GAGAGAAAACCUUGAGCAUUUCUUUGUUAUUUUCUAGGAAAGUUUAUGAAUCAGUCAUGAUAACUGACUUGCAUAUAUAGAUAUAUAUAUAUGUACUGUACAAGAUAUUUUUUCCAGGAAAGAAAAAGGGUAGCUAACAUGAUAGGCGAUCAGUACAUUCUGGCUACAGAAUAGUCUGCAAGCACAUCAAUAUGCAUUUACCUUGUGAAAAUUUGGUAGCAAUUCGAAUAAGCUAUAAGAGAACUAAUUAGGAUGCAGAAGAGUGAAUGCAUCAUUUACUUCUUUCAUUUGUUCUGAAAGUAAACUAAUAUUAGUAAAACAGGAACAUUCCAUAAAAUGACAUUAUAUAUGCAAAUUGUAGUGAGAAUGGUAGUUGAUUGGUUAAUUUUUUAACACUAGUAUAUGAUUAAUAUCUGAACCUUAAUAUUUAUUUUGCAGGGAAACAUUUCAAAUUCCCAUUUAAAUUAUCAAAUAUAAGAAGAGAAAUAACAUAUUUUCAAGGGUCAAUCUAUCAUCGAUCGACCUGUACUAGUUAGUUGAAGUUCCAGACUAUGUAUGGCUUUUAGGUUUUAAAGAGAAACUAUAAACACUUUUGAAGGUAAGAUAUUGCAUUGGGAAUAUGUUAAACAAAAAAAGAUCUUAUACAGUGUUUAAUUUGGAUCUUACUACCUAAUAUUUCAAAUCUUUCGGUUGGAUUGAUCACUUGGCAUCAAAGUAACAGCAAUGACAUUACAAAUAAUGAGAUUAAUUAUAAGCAACUCUGAUCUUCUUUUUGGGUGGAAUUAUCAUCCAUUAAUGUUAUAUUGGACAUCUUUAUACACUCUAUAAUCAAUAUGGAUCUCAUCUUACAAAAGAACCCUUAUCAAUAUUUGGUAUUCCCUAAUUAAUAUGAAAUUUCAUUGUCUAUUAACCUGUCAAAUUUUCUUUCAAUAUUCAUUAUAUGGACCCUAGAGCAGUUGCAGUCAAGUGCAAAAUUACUCUUAAGCUUUCUCUGUGAACAUAAUUAUAUGACAUUUGCCUCUCUGAUGACUAAUAGUUUCUUUGUAUGCCUCAAGUAAGCUCUUGAGGGUGAGUUUUGUUUAAUUAACUCUGACCUUUAACACCUCUAGUAGGCUACUAUAUAUAGUCAAGCAACUUAUUUAAAGUGGCUUAGUUCAAUAAAACAAUUGAGAAGCAGAAGCAUCUCACACAUCUAAGAACUUAUAUAACUAGCAUCAAUUUUAUUUAGUAUAGGGUUUAAGCUCCAAACUAGGAGUUGUUAGGUCACUCAAAAUGUUGUAAAUAUAUGAUUAACCAUUGUUAAUCUCCCAUAAUUAAUAAUAGUUUUUGCUUAUCAUGGUUAAUUUCCUCUCAAUUAAUAAUAGUUUUUGCUUAUAAAAAAAAAAAUCUUCCAUAUGGAAUAAGGGUAUUACUUGUAGAACCUUUUAGAAUUUACAACCUGAAAGAAAUUAAGAACCUAUUUAACAUUUUU
rnacentral:misc_RNA from 1 species